rnacentral:rRNA from 1 species
AGAGUUUGAUCCUGGCUCAGGAUGAACGCUAGCUACAGGCUUAACACAUGCAAGUCGAGGGGCAGCAUGGUCUUAGCUUGCUAAGGCCGAUGGCGACCGGCGCACGGGUGAGUAACACGUAUCCAACCUGCCGUCUACUCUUGGACAGCCUUCUGAAAGGAAGAUUAAUACAAGAUGGCAUCAUGAGUCCGCAUGUUCACAUGAUUAAAGGUAUUCCGGUAGACGAUGGGGAUGCGUUCCAUUAGAUAGUAGGCGGGGUAACGGCCCACCUAGUCUUCGAUGGAUAGGGGUUCUGAGAGGAAGGUCCCCCACAUUGGAACUGAGACACGGUCCAAACUCCUACGGGAGGCAGCAGUGAGGAAUAUUGGUCAAUGGGCGAGAGCCUGAACCAGCCAAGUAGCGUGAAGGAUGACUGCCCUAUGGGUUGUAAACUUCUUUUAUAAAGGAAUAAAGUCGGGUAUGCAUACCCGUUUGCAUGUACUUUAUGAAUAAGGAUCGGCUAACUCCGUGCCAGCAGCCGCGGUAAUACGGAGGAUCCGAGCGUUAUCCGGAUUUAUUGGGUUUAAAGGGAGCGUAGAUGGAUGUUUAAGUCAGUUGUGAAAGUUUGCGGCUCAACCGUAAAAUUGCAGUUGAUACUGGAUAUCUUGAGUGCAGUUGAGGCAGGCGGAAUUCGUGGUGUAGCGGUGAAAUGCUUAGAUAUCACGAAGAACUCCGAUUGCGAAGGCAGCCUGCUAAGCUGCAACUGACAUUGAGGCUCGAAAGUGUGGGUAUCAAACAGGAUUAGAUACCCUGGUAGUCCACACGGUAAACGAUGAAUACUCGCUGUUUGCGAUAUACGGCAAGCGGCCAAGCGAAAGCGUUAAGUAUUCCACCUGGGGAGUACGCCGGCAACGGUGAAACUCAAAGGAAUUGACGGGGGCCCGCACAAGCGGAGGAACAUGUGGUUUAAUUCGAUGAUACGCGAGGA